GUUGUAUCGUACUUGCCGCUGCUAGUUGGGUGUUUACUGCGGGUGAAGCACAUGCUGUGGCAGAGUUUCAUUGUCACAUCAUUCUUUCCUGUUCUCUCCCUAGACCUCCAGUUUGGGCUCUCGGAAAGUAACUAACACAUACACAUUUUUUCACAUAGAGCUUUCAGCAGAGGCCAAGGCAGCAUUGCUUGAAUUUGAAGAAAGGGAGCGACAGCAUAAACAAGGACGCUACAGCUCCAGGCGGGGAGGACGGCGAGGAGGUCCACUGAUGUGUCGUGGUGUGGGGGACCAGAGGAGAGAGAGCACCGAGAGGGGCAGGAUGAAGGACCACAGACCUGCGCUGCUUCCUACACAGCCUCCUGUCGUGCCCCAGGCUCCCCCUCCACCGCCACCGCCGCCUCAGCAGCAGCCGAUCAGAAGCCUGUUCCAGCCUCAGCCGCUGCAGCCGCUGCUUCCGGUGCAGCACCCGCACCACCCAUCCCCGCCUCAGGGAAUGCACAUGCCUCCCCAGCUAGAGACCCCAAGGAUGAUGAUGACCCCGCCACCCGUGACUCCGCAGCAGCCCAAGAACAUACACAUCAACCCGCACUUCAAAGGGACGGUGGUCACGCCUGUUCAAGUGCCCUUGCUACCAGUUCCGAGCCAGCCGAGACCUGCCGUGGGACCCCAGAGAUUCCCAGGCCCUCCAGAAUUUCCACAGCAUACACCUGGACCUGUUCCCAACAGUUUCAGCCAGCCCCCACGACUCCCUCUCCAGGACCAGUGGAGAGCCCCACCCCCGCCUCAGGAUCGAGACCCUUUCUUCUUAGGAGUUUCAGGUGAACCAAGAUUCCCCAGCCAUCUUUUUCUGGAACAGCGAAGUCCCCCUCCACCACCACCGCCUCCUACCCUUCUUAACAGUAGCCAUCCUGUUCCUACUCAGAGUCCUCUACCAUUCACUCAGCCAGGACCAGCAUUUAAUCAGCAAGGACAGCAGCCAGUGUUCCCAAGAGAGCGGCCCGUACGACCAGCCCUGCAGCCUCCAGGUCCGGUGGGGAUUCUGCACUUUAGCCAGCCUGGGUCGGCAACCACACGGCCCUUCAUUCCUCCUAGACAGCCGUUCCUGCCAGGCCCAGGACAGCCGUUUCUGCCCACACACGCACAGCCCAACCUGCAGGGGCCGUUGCAUCCUCCAUUGCCCCCUCCGCAUCAGCCUCAGCCUCAGCAGCCUCAGCAAC
rnacentral:lncRNA from 1 species